rnacentral:rRNA from 1 species
CUACGGGUCGCUGCAGUGGGGAAUAUUGCACAAUGGGGGGAACCCUGAUGCAGCAACGCCGCGUGGAGGAUGACACAUUUCGGUGCGUAAACUCCUUUUAUAUAAGAAGAUAAUGACGGUAUUAUAUGAAUAAGCACCGGCUAACUCCGUGCCAGCAGCCGCGGUAAUACGGGGGGUGCAAGCGUUACUCGGAAUCACUGGGCGUAAAGAGCAUGUGGGCUGGUUUGUAAGUUGGAAGUGAAAUCCUAUGGCUUAACCAUAGAACUGCUUCCAAAACUACUUACCUAGAGUAUGGGAGAGGUAGAUGGAAUUUCUGGUGUAGGGGUAAAAUCCGUAGAGAUUAGAAGGAAUACCGAUUGCGAAGGCGAUCUACUGGAACAUUACUGACGCUCAGAUGCGAAAGCGUGGGGAGCAAACAGGAUUAGAUACCCUGGUAGUC